UCCCUGGGGACUCAGUGGUAAAGAAUCUGCUUGCAAUGCAGGAGACACAGGUUCAAUCCCUGAUCCUGGAA
rfam:Ovis aries breed Texel chromosome 1, whole genome shotgun sequence.